rnacentral:lncRNA from 1 species
AUAUAUGUGUUAUAUAUUUAUAUUUAAACAUAUUUAUAAGAUUGACUAUAUUGACUUACUCUGUUUUCUGUUGCUAUAACUGAAUACCUGAGACUAAGUGAUUUAUAAAUAAAUUUAUUUCUUACAGCUCUGAUGGCUGGGAAAUCCAAGGUUACAGGGCUUAUCUGCCUCUAAGAAGAGGACCCCAAUGUCUCCAGCCUCUCAAAGGAGAAACUCAUCAUCACCAGCUUUUGGAGGAGAAACUGGCUGUCUCCAGCCUCUCAGAGAAUGACCUUUCCAUCUCCAGCCUCUCACAAGAGAAACUCACCAUGUCCAGCUUCUGGAAAAUAACUCACCAUCUGCAGCCUCUCAGAGGAGAAACUGGUUGUCUUUAGCCUCUCAGAAAAGGAAUUCACAGUCUCUAGCAUCUCAGAGGACAAACUUAUCAUCCUGAGCCUCUCAGAGAAGAAACUUACUGUUUCCAGCCUCCUAGACAGAAACUUGCUGUCUCUAGCCUCUCAGAGGAGAAACGGUCACCAGCCUCUUAGAAGAAGAAAACCUUGCUGUCUCCAGCCUCUUGGGAAAAAAAAGGCCAUCUCCAGCCUCUGAGAAGAGGACCUCAUUGUCUUCAGCCUCUCAGAAAAAGAACUCACCAACUCCAUCCUCUGAGAGGAAGAACUCACCAUAUCCAGCCAAUCACAGAGACUCACACUCCCCAGCCUCUCAGAGGAGAGACUCACUGUCUUCGCCUCUCAGAGAAAAAACUCACUGUCUCCAGCCUCUCAGAAAAGAAACUAACCAUCUCUGGUCUCUUGCAGAGGGAUCUCACUAUCUCCAGCCUCUCACAGGGGGACUUCAUGUCUCUAGCCUCUCACAGGAUGACCUCACUUUCUCCAGCCUCUUAGAUGAGGAACUCACAGUCUCUGGGCUCUAAGAGAAGAAACUCAUCAUCUUGAGUCUCUCAGAAGAGUAACUGACCAUCUCCAACUUUCCAGCAAAGAAACUGGCCAUCUUCUACCUCUCAGAAAAGAACCUCACCAUCUCCAGCCUCUCGGAAAUGGAAUUGGCCAUCUCCCGCCUCUCAGAGGAGGACCUCAAUGUCUCCAGACUCUCAGAGGAGGAAUUCACAGUCUCCAGACUCUCUGAGAUGAAACUCACUAUCCUGAGCUUCUGAGAAGAGAAGCUUACCAUCUCCAACCUCCCAGUAAAGAAACUGGCCAUCUCCUGCCUCUCAGAAUGAGGAUACACCAUCUCCAGACUCUCAGAAGAGAGACUUGUCAUCCUCAGCUUCUCAGAGAAGACACUCACCAUCUCCACUUUAUUGGAAGAAAAGCUCACAGUCUCCAGCCUCUCAGAAGAAAAUCUGGUCAUCUCCAGCAUCUCAGAGGAGCACUUCUCCUUCUCCAGCCUCUCAGAGGGUGGAACUUGUAGUCUUUAGCCUCUUAGAGGAGAAACUCAUCAUCUCCAGCCUUCUCUCAGAAGGGAAACUGGCUGUCUCCAGCCUCUCAGAGGAGAAACUUUUUGUCUCUAGCCUCUCGGAGUAGGACCUCACCAUCUCCAGCUUCUCAGAAAAUAAAUUAAUCAUCUUCAGCCUCUCAGAGGUGAAACUCACCAUCUACAGCCUCUCAGAAGAGUACCUUGCAGUCUGCAGUCUCUCAAAGGAGAAAAUUGCCAUCUCCAGCCUCUCAAAGAAGAAACUGUCUGCAGCCUCUCAGAUGAGGAAAUCUUCAUCUCCAGUCACUCAGGAAAGAAACUUACCAUCUCCAGCCUCUGAAAGAAGAAACUUGCUGCCUCCGGCCUCUCAAAGGAGGAACUCACCAUCUCCAGUCUCUCAUAGAAGGGCGUAAUUUUCUUCAGCCUCUCAGGAAAAAAAAGACUUGCCAUCUCCAGCCUCUCAGGAGAAACUCAUUGUCUCCAGCCUUUCAGAGGAGAGAGUCACCAUGUCCAGUUUCUCAGAGGAGGAGCUCACUGUCUUCAGCCUCUCAAAGUAGGGCUUUGCCAUCUCCUGCUACUCAGAGAAGAAGCUCCCCACCUCCAGCCUCUCAGUGGAGACAGUGGGGUUACAAUGGCAUAGCAUUGCCCCAACCCCCAAAAGAAAUAGUAUCGAAGUCCAAUGUAAACCUAUUAAUUACGUGGCUGUGCUACAAUCAAAACAUAGAUCUCUGACGUCAGCCUUAUUGUUCUUCAUUGUGUUGAUCAAGAGCUUUCAGGUUCCUCUUUCCAUGUAGUUGAGGAAAUUCCUCAGCCCAUUGUCACCUCGGAUCUCAU